rnacentral:tRNA from 1 species
CGUGGUGCUGGGCGACCGGCGCACCCGGCUGCUCUACCUGCUGCUGGUCGUCCUGGCGGCCGCCGCGGUGGUCGCGGUCGCCGCCGUCACGUC